rnacentral:rRNA from 1 species
GACGAACGCUGGCGGCGUGCUUAACACAUGCAAGUCGAACGGUGAUGCUCCAGCUUGCUGGCGUGGAUCAGUGGCGAACGGGUGAGUAACACGUGAGCAACCUGCCCCAGACUCUGGAAUAAGCGCUGGAAACGGCGUCUAAUACUGGAUACGAAACUGGCCCGCAUGGGCAUGGUUUGGAAAGUUUUUCGGUUUGGGAUGGGCUCGCGGCCUAUCAGCUUGUUGGUGAGGUAAUGGCUCACCAAGGCGACGACGGGUAGCCGGCCUGAGAGGGCGACCGGCCACACUGGGACUGAGACACGGCCCAGACUCCUACGGGAGGCAGCAGUGGGGAAUAUUGCACAAUGGGCGAAAGCCUGAUGCAGCGACGCCGCGUGAGGGAUGACGGCCUUCGGGUUGUAAACCUCUUUCAGCAGGGAAGAAGCGAAAGUGACGGUACCUGCAGAAGAAGCACCGGCUAACCACGUG